rnacentral:lncRNA from 1 species
UGUGUGUGUGUGUGUGUGUGUGUGUGUCUUAUGUCUGUGUGCUGGGGGAUGGAACUCAGCUGUGGCUUGGCUUUAAUGUGCAGUGGUCUGUUGUGUUCUCCGGCAGCCCCUUAGCCCCCUUUCAGGCCUCAGGCUCAGCUUCUGUUGUCCCUCAGUUUUUCUGUUAUGACAUUGCUGUGUGAUAAGACUGGAUCUCCCCAUAGGAUUGGCUGCUACUCCGUAGUCCACUGUGCUCCCCAUCUAGGCGGUGUCUCAGGCCUGUUUUUUAGCUUGUCCUAUGGUCUCUGUGUCCCCGGGGGCAGAUUCUUACAGAUGGUGGAUUUCAGGGCCAAGCUUGAGAGUAAGUUUUGGUGUAAUGCUUGAUUCAUUUUGUAUGGGAAAGAUCAAGCAUUCAUGCUUCACUCUUGGGAAGUUUAAGUGCUCGGCUCUCAGGUGAGGAUGACAGGAUGGUCCGUAUGCUUUUGUUCCUCACCCUCUAUUCCCGGUGCCCUGCCCUGCUCUUGGCUCGUGCUCCUGAUUACACCUACAGGUCGAUCUUCAACAAAAGCUGGUCCUUAAUGUCUUACUUAGUAAAAUACACUGUACCAGGACUGGGACCUAGGCCAGGUCAGGAGAACGCCUGAUUCUCAGUCAUUUUCCGGUCAGCGUCCUCUCCUCCUCCUGUCUUGCCACACAGUGCACAUUUACAGCAGUGGCCUCGGAAGCCAAAUAAGUGGACAGUGAGACAGUGAAUGCAGGGAGGACCUGGCCUCGCUGGAGAGGUGGCUCUGAGACUAAGCACUGACUGCUUUCCAGAGGUCCUGAGCUCAGUUCCCAGCAACCACAGGGUGGCUCACAGCCUGUCAUGGGAUCUGAUGCCCUCUUCUGGCAUGCAGAUAUACAGGCAGAUAGAGCACUCACACAUUUAAAAAAAAAAAAAGAAAGAGGGGGCUGGUGAGAUGGCUCAGCGGGUAAGAGCACCUGACUGCUCUUCCAAAGGUCCUGAGUUCAAAUCCCAGCAACCACAUGGUGGCUCACACCCAUCUGUAACGAGAUCUAAUGCCCUCUUCUGAUGUGUCUGAAGACAGCUACAGUGUACUUACAUGUAAUUAAUAAAUAAGUAAAUUAAAAAAAAAGAAGAAAAAAAAAAGCUUUAAAAGAAAAGAAAGAAAGAAAGAAGG